GACGAACGCUGGCGGCGCGCUUAACACAUGCAAGUCGAGCGAAGCGGCGGACGGGUGAGUAACACGUGAGUAACCUGCCUUAGACAUUGGGAUAGCCUCGGGAAACCGGGAUUAAUACCAAAUGGUCUAAGAUGGACUCGCGUCCCAUUAGCUAGUUGGUGGGUAACGGCCUACCAAGGCGGUGACGGGUAGCCGGCCUGAGAGGGAGACCGGCCACAGUGGAACUGAGAUACGGCCCAGACGCUGCGGGAGUCAGCAGUGGGGGAUAUUGCACAAUGGGCGAAAGCCUGAUGCAGCGACGCCGCGUGGGGGAUGAAGGCGUUCGGGUUGUAAACCUCUUUCGCAAUGGCUCACUAUCGGGUGGGUUGAGGGUAGGUGGAGAAGAAGCGCCGGCUAACUACGUGCCAGCAGCCGCGGUAAUAC
rnacentral:rRNA from 1 species